AACGCUGAAGGAGGAGCUUGCUUCUCUGGAUGAGUUGCGAACGGGUGAGUAACGCGUAGGUAACCUGCCUGGUAGCGGGGGAUAACUAUUGGAAACGAUAGCUAAUACCGCAUAAGAGUAGAUGUUGCAUGACAUUUACUUAAAAGGUGCAAUUGCAUCACUACCAGAUGGACCUGCGUUGUAUUAGCUAGUUGGUGGGGUAACGGCUCACCAAGGCGACGAUACAUAGCCGACCUGAGAGGGUGAUCGGCCACACUGGGACUGAGACACGGCCCAGACUCCUACGGGAGGCAGCAGUAGGGAAUCUUCGGCAAUGGACGGAAGUCUGACCGAGCAACGCCGCGUGAGUGAAGAAGGUUUUCGGAUCGUAAAGCUCUGUUGUAAGAGAAGAACGAGUGUGAGAGUGGAAAGUUCACACUGUGACGGUAUCUUACCAGAAAGGGACGGCUAACUACGUGCCAGCAGCCGCGGUAAUACGUAGGUCCCGAGCGUUGUCCGGAUUUAUUGGGCGUAAAGCGAGCGCAGGCGGUUAGAUAAGUCUGAAGUUAAAGGCUGUGGCUUAACCAUAGUACGCUUUGGAAACUGUUUAACUUGAGUGCAAGAGGGGAGAGUGGAAUUCCAUGUGUAGCGGUGAAAUGCGUAGAUAUAUGGAGGAACACCGGUGGCGAAAGCGGC
rnacentral:rRNA from 1 species